AGAGUUUGAUCAUGGCUCAGGACGAACGCUGGCGGCGUGCUUAACACAUGCAAGUCGAACGAUGAUGCCCAGCUUGCUGGGUGGAUUAGUGGCGAACGGGUGAGUAACACGUGAGUAACCUGCCCCUGACUCUGGGAUAAGCGUUGGAAACGACGUCUAAUACUGGAUAUGACUGCCGGCCGCAUGGUCUGGUGGUGGAAAGAUUUUUUGGUUGGGGAUGGACUCGCGGCCUAUCAGCUUGUUGGUGAGGUAAUGGCUCACCAAGGCGACGACGGGUAGCCGGCCUGAGAGGGUGACCGGCCACACUGGGACUGAGACACGGCCCAGACUCCUACGGGAGGCAGCAGUGGGGAAUAUUGCACAAUGGGCGAAAGCCUGAUGCAGCAACGCCGCGUGAGGGAUGACGGCCUUCGGGUUGUAAACCUCUUUUAGUAGGGAAGAAGCGAAAGUGACGGUACCUGCAGAAAAAGCACCGGCUAACUACGUGCCAGCAGCCGCGGUAAUACGUAGGGUGCAAGCGUUGUCCGGAAUUAUUGGGCGUAAAGAGCUCGUAGGCGGUUUGUCGCGUCUGCUGUGAAAUCCCGAGGCUCAACCUCGGGCUUGCAGUGGGUACGGGCAGACUAGAGUGCGGUAGGGGAGAUUGGAAUUCCUGGUGUAGCGGUGGAAUGCGCAGAUAUCAGGAGGAACACCGAUGGCGAAGGCAGAUCUCUGGGCCGUAACUGACGCUGAGGAGCGAAAGCGUGGGGAGCGAACAGGAUUAGAUACCCUGGUAGUCCACGCCGUAAACGUUGGGCGCUAGAUGUAGGGACCUUUCCACGGUUUCUGUGUCGUAGCUAACGCAUUAAGCGCCCCGCCUGGGGAGUACGGCCGCAAGGCUAAAACUCAAAUGAAUUGACGG
rnacentral:rRNA from 1 species